CACCUGACAGUGUGUUAAAUUUAAAUUCUGUUAGUGCUGCACAAAAAGAAUCGUUAGUAAUAAGCCCAUGCAGUGAAGGAAGUGAACAAUUGUGGGACCGUAUUUGGGCCGAAAAUGGGUGUGGUACGGAAACCAAGAUAUGGCACAAGUUCAACAUGAAACAUGGAUUAGAAUUUAAUGGGGGAUCAAAUCAAGUCUGGAAGUGUUACAGGAUGGAAGAGUCAGCCUACAGAUGAAAAAACACUGAGAGUGCAUUACCAUUAAGUACAACAGCAAUCCUUUAUAGUUCUGUCACAGCUAGAAACCUCAAAUAAUUCUGCUUCUCUGUCUAAAGAACAACUUGUCCUUUACGUUCAGAGUGUUGGGGAAACUGGGUACUUAAAUGGCCCUAAAGAUGUUUUAAUUUUGCUGCCAUUGCAGAGAUGAACAUCAUACAUGGACUCUUUAGGUCUAAUCUACCAAAAAAAAAUUUAUCCAAUAGGAAAGGAUUUUCAUGUACUGGGAACACAACUAUCAACAAUGCAACAUUGUACAGCUUCCACCAGAAGUUGAAUCUAUGAGUCAUGUAAGUUACAUGAUCAACAGUUGAUAUGUUUAACGGUGUUGUUUUUCUUUUCUCAAUAUAGGUUAAUAGUAACAUUGGAUCUGAAAAAAUUCUUGGUUGGGGCAAGACACUGAAUAAAUUGUAUUGAUUGGAUGGAUGACAUGACAUUUCUGUACUUAAUUCGGAUUCCCCAGACGGUAUUUGAUAUUAAAAAAAUUGAAGUGCAUAUCUGGGCUCCCUUCUUUUCUGAAGCCCCGUUUCCC